GAAACGCAAGCUCUGCGAGAGAGGUUCCGACGCCGCCUGGGUUGGAGGAGACAGAAUGGAGACCGCGAUCGAAGACGCGGGACUGGACCGCGGCCCGACGCUGACCUCGUCCUGGGAUGCGGCGUGCGGGGCGCUGACCCAAAGCCUUUUUCUUACCCGGACUGGGCCACGUGCCCAAGACUUGGACUUCGAGCAGCUACUGGAGCCGCCAGCUCCGAGCCAGGAUCCGGUUAGUCUGAAAAGCAGCCUGAGCCCCCGAGAUGAAAACCCCUGCUUCAUUUACCUGAACUGUGGCCCUAAUGGGGGUGAAGAAAUCCUUUCGGUUGGCGUUCUGAGUUCAGCAAGAAACAUGGAAGUAUACUUAGGAGAGGAGUAUUGUGGAACCAGUCGAGGCAAGACUGCCUGCACUGUCCUGGAUGACAGUGAACAUGAAAAGAUCUUGUUAUACAAAAAAUACCUAAAAUUGGAUUCUCCCACGCAUGCCUGUAAAAUAAAGCUGUUGUCCUUCGGGGAGAAGCAGUGUGUGCUUGUCAGUAAGGUGGUGGUGCACUUGAGGCCACGGUCUGCAGAUCCUUCACCGCGCUCUGCUGCUCUGGGAUCACGGAUAGACCUUGACAACAUCCAAACCAUAAUGGAGUCCAUGGGGUCCAGGUUAUCGCCUGGAGCGCAGCAGCUCAUGAGCAUGAUUAGGUUUCAGCAGCAGAAUCGUCUUCCCAUCGGGGAUCAGCUUCAGUCGGUGUUGGGAAGCGCAGGACACAAGCAUCUGAUGGCGCUGCAGUCGUCACCGUCUCCAGCAGUCUUAGACAAGGCAUCCUCUACACCUUUCCCUUUUAGAACUGGAUUGACCCCUUCAGCCAUCACUGAAAAUUUAAAGGCUCUUAUUGAUAAAAGCGCACAGCCAUCUGGAGAAGGAAAUACCACAAACCACGAUGAGGGUCACCUUAUGCCACAAAACCAUUCCCUUGAAAGUGAUCUUAAAAACGCAGUGUCUUCUUUCUUACCAAAGAAGGCAAGCGGCAGCUCAAGUGUGCCCAGCUCUGAGCUGCUGCCUUUUCUCCAGAACUUAUGUAGUCAGGUCAACCAUCUCCGCGUGGGACAUAAUGCCAGGUGGCAAGAAAACAUCUCCAAGCCCCGAGAGGGCAUGGUCGGGGUUCCGUAAGUAUUUUAUUUUAAGUCAACUAUCGUUGAGAUUUGGUAGGAGCGAGAGUCAGAUGAAGGGAACCAGCUUUGCCUCGGGUGCGCUGUCUGAUGAGCUCUUCUCAGCAUUUACCGUGCAUCCCGGACAUUGCUGGUUAGGAACAGAAUAGAGCGGACUGCAUAGGUUGAUGUUGCAUGGUUUCAGGCAUUCAUGGAAGAGUUCCAGCUAUUGGCUCAUGGUUGCAGUAGGAAGCUGUGUGCGUGAAUUUGGAGGAACCGUGAGAAUUUAUAAUUUUUGAUUAGGUUUGUUAUGAAUGUCACUGUAAGAGAUUGCCUUUACAGCCUGUGUCGGCUCCAGGUGACUUUACAGUCAACAGCUGUAGUGGGGUGGGAAUUACUUAUAGUGCAGGGCCUCUUAUCCUCUGGCCUCAAUGCAUGAUCUUUGCAGCAUUUAUUUGAUUAAGAUGUUGCCAAAUAGCAGAUUAUUAUUAUUAUUAUUUUUUGGGUUUUGGUUUUUUGAGACAGGGUUUCUCUGUGUAGCCCUGGCUGUCCUGGAACUCACUCUGUACACCAGGCUGGCUUCGAACUCAGAAAUCCGCCUGCCUCUGCCUCCCAAGUGCUGGGAUUAAAGGCGUGCACCACCACGCCCGACCCCAAAUAGCAUUUUCUUAUUCCUUUUCACAGAUACAGUUUGUCAAAAUAGUGUUCUACUUGAGAUAUAGAACUCUGGUCAUAGCUCACAAUAUCCAUUUUACUCUGUUUAAUCGGUCUUAGUUUAAAGUUUACAUCUGAAAAUGGUACUUUUAUUAGUUGGAAAUAAACAUCACCAACCAACAUGAUAACAUCAGCACUUAUAUUAGGUUCUAUUGACAAUAGCAGAAUAGCUUUUUCAUGUCUGUGGAAGAUUCACAUAAAUGUAUUUCAAGUCAUAAAGCAGCCUCACCAAAUUUAAGAGGGCUGAAAUCAUAGAAGGUAUUUUCUCCACCCAUAAAGAUAGAUUAAACAAUCACUUAACAGUGAAGGAAAGACAAUAAGAAAAUUCCAAACACUCGAUGACUAAGCAUCACAGUUUAUGUGUUUCAGGAAGUCUGGGAGUUGGAGAAAUGGCUCCAUUGGUAAAGUGCUUUCUGUGUGACAGCAAGGACCCAAGUUUCAGACCAUAGCACCCAUCGCUUUUAAAAAAAUAAAACCUGAGUGUGGUGGUGUGUGCCUAUAAUACUGGUCCUGAGGAGACACAGGCAGGAGCACCUGUAGGGAUUACAGUACCUGUAGGAGUACCUGGCUGGCUAAUCUCACUAAAUCAGUGAGCUCUCGGCUCUAUGGAAGUCUCUGUCUCAACAAAUGUGACAGAGUGACAGAAGUAGUCACUGGAUGCCAGCCUCCUGUUCUAUAGCUCAUGUGUACAUACACGAGUGCAUCCAUGUUGGGCAUGUGCGCAUGCACAUCAGACACAAAGGAAGUCUCAACAGGAGUAUUUUUAAAAUACAUUAAGCUGAGUAAAAAUUCAGAGCCAGGAGUUUGUGGGCUGAAGUUACGGGUGAUGGCCAGGGUCUAUGGCAUCAUAGGGUGUUUUAGUGAAGAUGGCUGUGAGGACAGUGACACAGAACUACCCCAGAAGGAUGGAUGGGCUGGAGAGAUGGCUCAGCAGGUAAGAACAUGUGUUGCUUUAAUUUCCAGCACCUAUGUAACUCACAACUCUAACUAGCCUGUAACUCUCGUCCCAGUAGUUCAGUGCCCUCUCCUGACCACUGUGGGCACCAGGUAUGCAUGGAACAUAUGUGUACAUGCAAGCAAAAAUACUUAUACAGUACUAAAAAAUUUUAAUUUAAACAAUGAAAUAGAUGCUCCAAGAAGUCGUAACACAUUAAAGACUGAAUUAAAAGACCACUGGUGACACAAACAGCGCCAGCAUUCGGGAAGCCAAAGGAGGAGGUUCACACGAUGGGAGAACAGUAAAGAGACCAACAAAAUAAGAAGGAUGGAAGAGCAGCCUGUUUGCUCCUACUUGGAAAAGAUUCUUUCUAAAAACAUGGAACUGAUGGAAAAGAAGCUUAUGGACCACAUUGAUGAGAGGAUCUAUCAGCUCCAGGAACACAUAGAUGCUAAAAUGGCUUUGUUAGUGGACUUGCUGCGAGGCCCCAACUCCCCACCCCCAGGGAUGCCUCUAAGACACUAUGACUCCAGAGAAAGACUUUCCAAUGGAGAAAGAUAAGCUAUGCACAUACUGUUAUUGCAGAUAUUUAUUAUAUAUUUAUUACAAAGCCAGAAUCCAAAAAGGUUGUGAAAAUCGAGUCUUUAAUGUCCUUUGAAGGACCGUUGUCUUACAUGAAGUGACCUCCGUGCUUGUUUGCAUUGCGCUUGUUACUGUAAAUCCAGGGCUGUGCGCCAGCAGCCCUCCUGAUAGUCGUAAGUUAUUCUGCUUGCUAUAUUUUUCACUCUUACAGAAAUGUAUACUUGUGUUGCUCAACUGUUUCAGAUGUUUAAGGACUUCUAAUGCACUUCGUUAGCUUGUGUUGUAUAUUACAUGUGUUUGAAGUGGAUUUUUUAUUUAUACAGAUACCUGUAAAAUAUAUAGUCUCAGGAGUAUGAAAAGUAAUAAGAUAUUUGGUUUUUUUUUCUAAUUAAUUUUGGAAGUUGGAUGCUUGGACUCCCUCAUUCAGAUCACCAGUUUCCACUUCCUAUUGUUUGUCUGAGAUGAGCGUGUGCCGUGUCUGGGCCGUUUGAGAUAGUUUACACGGUGGGGGGAGCGCUGCUUUUCAUUACAGUGCAGCUGGAGAUUGCUCGGUUUCAGUGUUAGGAUUUCACAUUUGGUGCUGGGUUAGGUGAAAUGGAAGGCAGUCUCUUCUGUAACUGACAGGGACUUCUCCCAGAGGCCUUUCUAGCAUGUAUAGUGUGUGACAUUCUGAGAAUCUAAAAUGAGGGUUAAGCUAUGAAUCCAGGGCACUGCAGUUCCCAGCAGACUUAAGUUUUCAGAAUUUUACUGUUAUAUUUGUGUUGGUGAUACAGCUGUGCCUAAAGAGAUUGCUCUGAAGACCACCAGUAAGUGAAUAGAAUUCUUUUCAGCUAAUUUGAUUACGUUGUUUCUUCUUUUUUUAAGGGGGAUAUUUUGUACGUAUCCAGUAUUUUGACAAACUAUUGAUUUUAAUCAUACAGCCAAGAUGACCCAGCAUGUAGGACACACCACACUUUGGCCAUCUUUGGUGGGCCAAGGUUGGGAUGGAUGGUCACACCACGUGUAGAUGUAAGAUGUCAUAUCUUGAUGAGUAAGAAGAGAGCCAGCCCGUGGUAGUUGUGGCUCCUCCCUAACUAGCAGAGUACCACCCUUGACUUAGUAGUGCCCUCUGGCCCAUCAAUCAUCAGCUGGGGCUCCCCGGGUCUGCAGGAUGGGACUGAACCCCUAAGUGAAGGCCUUGAAACUGUCUUCAUGUCCGCCUGACACACCUUUCCUGCUUCACCUCCACGGCCGAGAGUCCCUGGGUUCUCACUUGAUCCUUGUGACCUAGGGACUGAGCAGGUAGCAGGAGUAGCCAAUGGGAAGAACUUAGAGAAAAGCCAGAAGUAUAAAAGAUGGGAACACAUUUCAUAAACCAUACAGUGUCUGUCAGAGAGUAACAUGGACCCUGAAGAAUUAUAACCCUCCAGGAAGUCCUGUGUUAGGUUGGGAAUAGCCUGAAGCCCACAACUAGGACAGCCUCCUGCCAGGAAAGACGGCUCACGGUCUGAGGAGCUCUUUCACCGUUACGUCUAUACACAUACAUACUUGUUUCCUGGCUUUUGUUUCAUCCUCUCUGUAGAUUGUAUCACUGCUAUAGGAAAAGUGGGGAGAAAGGAACACCUCCCUAUCCCAACCCUCCCCAGUUCUGACUAAAACUGUAAACACACCCAUUUCCUUUUUCUCGAUUUUUUUUUUCCUAAAGAAGUGGCUAGUACCAGAGUCUCCAGAUUCAGGUAACAGCUUGAUAUGGGAUCCAUAAGUGUCAAAUUGGGCUUUGUGUGAAAAAGAAAAACUCUUGUGGCCACCAUGCUUGAUCGUGGGGCUGUGCACCCUGACAUGUCAAGUGGCCUUAGUCAAAAACAGCUGAGCUUUUCCUCUACCACCAUUGUCGUCGUCGAAGCACAGUUAAAGAAUAAAAACUAGAUUGGCUAUCUCAAAGCUAGUUCAUAUGGAACU